GCACUUUCGGAAGAGGCGAAAUCCGUGGAGGCUCGGGGUUUUGGAUCUUUCCGUGUCCGCACUUGGAAAGCCCUAUUGGUGAUAAGCCAAAAAAAAAAAAAAAUCCCCUCAAGCCCGAGACUAUUUCGGUACGUUGCCAGCCAUCAAAAGUCUUCAGCAGGAAUCGGCUGAAUAAUUACUCAUGUCUGGGAUUGACAAGCGACUCUGCCUCAGCCGAGCCGAAUUAUAAGUUAAGUUAACGAAUAACUCAACCUUUGACUUAUUAAUUACGAUGCUAGUCAACAAAUUAGUUCCCUGCGACCGAAUCAUGACGACGCCUUCUGGCCAUGCCACGACGACAUGCGCCGUAAUAAUGAGUUACAGAACGUGAGGAAACAAAUAUUCGACGAAUAAGACCUCUUGAAUAUCAAUUGCACCGAGUUAAUGCUUUCGUAUUUUGCUGACCUCUUCCCCAAUGCGAUUGUAGAAAUUCCAGCUGGCUGAAUUUUAGUUUCUCCCAUUCUUGAGGCCCCUCAAUCUUUUUUUAAAAAUCAUCUUGAUUAUUAUCCCCUUCAAGCAAGUAGAUCAAGAAAAACGGAGUACUUCUGAGGCUCCUGACUUGUUUUCUUUCUACCUAGAAGUAUUUUCAUCGAAUAUAAGAAAGUUCCGGAAU
rnacentral:sRNA from 1 species